rnacentral:rRNA from 1 species
GACGAACGCUGACGGCGUGCUUAACACAUGCAAGUCGAAGGGAGUGGCGAACGGGUGAGUAACACGUGAGUAACCUGCCCUUUUCUUUGGGAUACGCCUGGGAAAAUGGGUCUAAUCCUGGAUGGGUUGGGAUGGGAUCGGGGCUUAUCAGCUUGUGGGUGGGGUGAUGGCUUACCAAGGCUUUGUCGGGUAGCCGGCCUGAGAGGGUGGGCGGUCACACUGGGACUGAGAGACGGCCCAGACUCCUACGGGAGGCAGCAGUGGGGAAUAUUGCACAAUGGGCGAAAGCCUGAUGCAGCCAUGCCGCGUGUAUGAAGAAGGCCUUCGGGUUGUAAAGUACUUUCGGCGGGGAGGCGGUACCUGCAGAAGAAGCACCGGCUAACUACGUGCCAGCAGCCGCGGUAAUUC